rnacentral:rRNA from 1 species
AUUGAACGCUGGCGGCAGGCUUAACACAUGCAAGUCGAGCGGAGAUGAGGUGCUUGCACCUUAUCUUAGCGGCGGACGGGUGAGUAAUGCUUAGGAAUCUGCCUAUUAGUGGGGGACAACAUUCCGAAAGGAAUGCUAAUACCGCAUACGCCCUACGGGGGAAAGCAGGGGAUCUUCGGACCUUGCGCUAAUAGAUGAGCCUAAGUCGGAUUAGCUAGUUGGUGGGGUAAAGGCCUACAAAGGCGACGAUCUGUAGCGGGUCUGAGAGGAUGAUCCGCCACACUGGGACGGAGACACGGCCCAGACUCCUACGGGAGGCAGCAGUGGGGAAUAUUGGACAAUGGGCGGAAGCCUGAUCCAGCCAUGCCGCGUGUGUGAAGAAGGCCUUUUGGUUGUAAAGCACUUUAAGCGAGGAGGAGGCUACUUAGAUUAAUACUCUGGGAUAGUGGACGUUACUCGCAGAAUAAGCACCGGCUAACUCUGUGCCAGCCGCCGCGGUAA